rnacentral:tRNA from 2 species
CGGGACGUGGCGCAGUUUGGUAGCGCACUUGACUGGGGGUCAAGGGGUCGUCGGUUCGAAUCCGGCCGUCCCGACCA